UACGUAGGGUGCAAGCGUUGUCCGGAAUUAUUGGGCGUAAAGAGCUCGUAGGCGGUUUGUCGCGUCGAAUGUGAAAACCCGGGGCUCAACUCCGGGCCUGCAUUCGAUACGGGCAGACUAGAGUUCGGUAGGGGAGACUGGAAUUCCUGGUGUAGCGGUGAAAUGCGCAGAUAUCAGGAGGAACACCGGUGGCGAAGGCGG
rnacentral:rRNA from 1 species